AUUUAUCUAUCUAUUUAUCUACUUACAUGCAUCCUUUAAUGACACGCUUACCUGUUCCUUUAUUACUGUAGAUAUUCACCUGAUAACUUACGCCUCUUCCUCGUUACCUGCUGGAAGUGCUCACCUGUCUUUGCUUUCCUUGCAGAGCGGCGAGGAGACAGUGAAGGGAUGGAGCAAGCACGUGGUUUUCCUUACUGUCCUUUAUUGCUGAGUCCGUUCUUGUGGGAGUUAUGAAGUGAUGAGGGAGGUACAAAAAUAUGAUCUGGAGAAGCAGUGGUGCCGUCACUCAAGCGAGGCGCGGUGUUCUGCCUCCUGGCCACCCGCACCUUACAUUAUGGAAACUCCUUCUUCCUCCUCGCCCGUUACAUGUGGAACUAAAUUGUGGUCUCAGUGAUAAAUUCGGUUGAACGUGUCAUUGUGGAACUGAAGUGUGGUGUGGCUGACAGCUCGGGUAAAAAAAUGUGUCUUGCACGUGGCUUUGUGGAACUGAAGUGUGUCUUGAACGUGGCACUGGUAUUGAAAUGUUGUCUUGAACGUAAUUUUGUGAAA